CAAUGCUUUCGCUUCUCAACCUGUUAAAAGGAAACUACUUUCGUCACUUUGUCGAUUUUAUUUAGUGUGCGAAAUAUAACCAUAAAGAUAAUAAUAAUCAUGGAAAACAGAAAACAACUGAGGGACCAUAUCUAAGGAGCCAAAUUCAAGAACUGCUCAAAAUUCUUCUUCAACUAACAACUCUAACUCUAUAAAUGGGGAUGAUAACGCAACUCAAUCCCAGGGUAAAACAAGAGUAGAUGGUGUAGAUGGCAAAGCAAGAGUACCUGGUGUAGAUAGUAAAGCAAGAUUACCUGGUGUAGAU